rnacentral:rRNA from 1 species
AUUGAACGCUAGCUGGAUGCUUUACACAUGCAAGCCGAACGAGUGGCGGACGGGUUAGUAAUAUAUCGGAACGUGCCCUGUCGCUGGGGAUCACUAACCGAAAGAGUGGCUAACUCCGCAUCCUAUUUGAUCGGCCGAUAUCGGACUAGCUAGUUGGUGGGGUAAAGGCUCACCAAGGCAACGAUCCGUAGCUGGUUUGAGAGGACGACCGACCCCGCGUGGACUGAGACACAGCCCAGGCGCCUACGAGGGACAGCGAUAGGGGUUUUUGGGCAAGGGAGAGAGCCCUGGGCCAGCCAUCCCGCGUAUCUGGAAAAGCCUUGGGGUUGUAAAGUACUUUUGACGGGGGAGCGGUAACUGCGGAAUAAACACCGGCUAACUGCGUGCCAGCCGCCGCGGUAAUUC